UAAUACGUAGGAUGCAAGCGUUGUCCGGAUUUACUGGGCGUAAAGCGCGCGCAGGCGGCAGGUUAAGUAAGGUGUGAAAUCUCCCUGCUCAACGGGGAGGGUGCACUUUAGACUGACCAGCUAGAGGGCGGUAGAGGGUGGUGGAAUUGCUGGUGUAGCGGUGAAAUGCGUAGAGAUCAGCAGGAACACCCGUGGCGAAGGCGGCCACCUGGGCCGUACCUGACGCUGAGGCGCGAAGGCUAGGGGAGCGAACGGGAUUAGAUACCCCGGUAGUCCUAGCAGUAAACGAUGUCCACUAGGUGUGGGGGGUAGUUGACCCCUUCCGUGCCGAAGCCAACGCAUUAAGUGGACCGCCUGGGGAGUACGGUCGCAAGACUA
rnacentral:rRNA from 1 species